rnacentral:rRNA from 1 species
ACGGAAGGCAGCAGUGAGGAAUAUUGGUCAAUGGACGAGAGUCUGAACCAGCCAAGUAGCGUGCAGGAUGACGGCCCUAUGGGUUGUAAACUGCUUUUGUACGGGAAUAAAGUGACCUACGUGUAGGUUUUUGCAUGUACCGUAAGAAUAAGGACCGGCUAAUUCCGUGCCAGCAGCCGCGGUAAUACGGAAGGUCCGGGCGUUAUCCGGAUUUAUUGGGUUUAAAGGGAGCGUAGGCGGUAGAUCAAGUCAGCUGUGAAAUAUAGGUGCUCAACAUCUGGACUGCAGUUGAAACUGGUUUACUUGAGUGCGUAAGAGGCAGGCGGAAUUCGUCGUGUAGCGGUGAAAUGCUUAGAUAUGACGAAGAACUCCGAUUGCGAAGGCAGCUUGCUGGGCCGCAACUGACGCUGAAGCUCGAAGGUGCGGGUAUCGAACAGGAUUAGAUACCCUGGUA